UUUAAAGGGGCACAAUUAUAUUUUAUUUAUAAAAGAUUUUAUUUAUUUAUUUGACAGAGAGAGAUCACAAAUAGGCAGAGAGGCAGGCAGAGUGAGAGGGGGAAGCAGACUCCCUGCUGAGCAAAGAGCCUGAUGCAGAGCUCGAUCCCAGGACCCUGAGAUCAUGACCUGAGCCGAAGGCAGAGGCUUAACUCACUGAGCCACCCAGUUACCCCUACAGUUAUAUUUUAAAGAAGAUUUUUUGUUAAAAGACACAACUUACUAUCUUUUCCUAAGUAUCUGAGUUAAAAAUCUUUGGGAGUGGCCAAUUGAAUAUAAAUUUAAAAUCCUUCCACAUAAACGAGUUCUGGGAGAUUCUUCUUUAGUUUUUAUUUAUGGUACUGGAUAAAAGAAACAAAACAGACUGUUUCUAGGACAUAAGAGUGGUACAAGAACACAUAAUAAGCUUGAGGUCUUACAAAUUAGAUUGAUUGAACAAAAUACUUUCUGUUUUUAAAUAAAAAUUUCAAGGAAUGCAACAUUUGGGGAAGUGUCUCGAGUAUACCUAAUUAUCAACAAGAAGUUUCUAGGUGUCAGUGGCCAGAAAAAGUUAAUCUGUUUUCCUGCUUCAGUAAUUCCCAUGGAGUAAGAUACUGGAAAAAAUGGCUGAAAGUGUAGAUUUAUAAAGCAGGACUUGUAACAAACAGUUAAUAGGUAAAUGUCCAUUUGACUGUUUAAAAUCUAUGUAUGGAAGGAAUCCUCAUUGCAAAAACAGACAAACAAAAUGUAUAUAAUCCAGAGUGGGUAUAUCACUAUUGUGUGUUCUAAAAAUCCCAUCUUUUUUUUUUUUAAUGCCAAGUAAGACUGACACAUGGAAUUCAUUACAUUCUAGCUAAUGGUUUCAGUCAAAUUUAUAACAGAGCUGAGUAGGCAGCGAGCAUUUCUGGACCUGUGUCUCCAAUCACAGGGAACCCAGAGACACAAGCAUUCACACACAGAGGAAAUUCGGUGCCCAGACUACUGAAGGCUAAUUCCUCUGCCACCUACAUUUUUCACUCCCAUGAAUAAAAUAAGUUGUUUUGUUUUAAAAAAUUAAUUUAGCCUCUGUGAAAGGCCAAAAUAAAGGAUUGGUAGGAUAUAUGAUAUUGUAGGAUAAAUGGUGUUGAUUUUUGUUUUAGCUUUGCACCAUGGUAAGUUCAGAGUAGAGUCUGAUAAAAUGGAAGGAAAACACUAGAUUUCCUGAUUAUGACAUUGCAGGAUAUGCUUUUAAAACAGCUUGUAUGUGGAAGAAAUAAGAAACAGUGAUUUAUUGACACUGGAAGUGAAAAUUUGUGCUCAUUCUUUUUUCGUGCAUUCAAGUAUGAUUUGAAGUUGAUAUUUAUCUAGCUACUUUUUAAAUUCUCAUUUUUAUUUGGAGAAGUUUGUUAAUUUUUCUCCGCUAUUUAACCUAUUUUGUUAACUUCAGUGAACUGAACUGUUGUUUUCUUUGGGAUGUGGAGAUUGGUGAAAAGAACUCUGCGCAAGUGUUGGUUAAAUGUCUUUCUUUUCGCAAGGAUACUUUGAAGAGCAUCAGAGACAAACUUCCUGUAAGCUGUGGAUUCUGUUGGAAGAGCGGUGGGGAAAUUCUUUGCCUGUGUGUGUAGUUUUGGCCUGCAGGGGGCAGCCAAAUGCAGCGAAGCUAAAAGAGCUGGCAUACACCGCCCUGUUUUCAUGCUACCUGAGUAACCCUAGUUCAGGAAAAUGCAGCAAAAGCCAAAGUAAGCACUCCUACCCCAUCUGUCACUGCGUGGAAGAGAGCUGAGGCAGCCAUAUUUAAUCAACACUGAAGUCUCCCCCUGGGUGAUGUUCGUGCCCUUCUGUAAUAUUUUAUUCUAAGUCAUUUCCCAGACAGCAUUAUUGAUUCGUGUCAUUAUUCUCCCCCAAGCUCCGGGAGCUUGUGCAAUGUGAUACCAACUGCAGAUCUCGUCGUGAACAUAACCUCAGAACUGAAAGAUUAUAAAAAACCUGAAGCUGUGUUGGGACAAGGAACUGACAAAAAACUGCUCCCUGUUGCAUCUGGAAUUCAAACUCAUGUCUAUCUGAAUCCAGAGUCCGGAAUCUAAAUAUCAGACUGUGAUAAUGUACAGAGAUGGACAAGCGGAAGAUGACGGUUGCCAGACUGACCCAUUUCUUAGUUUGCAAUCGCUUCCUGAAAAUGUGUUCGGAGCAGUCAUUCUCCAUUGUGGUGGAUUUUGCCUCUCGUGGAAUAUUGGAACCCGUCCGCAGCCUUUGUCCCAACGCUGGGGGAUGGCUCUAUGGGCAUCUAACGGAGGGGCACAGAAACGUAUUGUCUCACGGUUCUGGAAGCUGGAAGUCCAAGACCCUGGUAGCAGCAGGCUUGCUUCUUGCUAAGCUACUUCUCUCAUAGUCCCCCACUGAAGGCGAAGAUGCCAUGUGUUGGGGAAAAUUGGAACCAAAGCACGAAUCUUGGCUGUGCACGUGAUGUGACCUUCGAGGGCGCUUCGCUCGGUGGGCUCUGCGUGGUUGCCUGUCUACCGAGCAGCUGCAGAUGAAACGACUUUUUCAAACCGUGGCAGACAUUUUCUAUGUGGAUUCCUUCGCAGCCAUCACAACCCUUUGGUGGGGAAAAACUCAGUCUUAGCAAGACAAAAUCUCAAGCGAAUUCAAACAUGGUCCAGGUUUCUGAUAGCAUCAACCAGUUUUCUGCCUGAAGUUAUCAGAAGAAAUGACAUGCCCAACAUCCAGCACAAAACUAACCAAACUACAUCUUGGGAAAUCUCUGACAACCACGUCCUCCUUGAGUUUGUUUCUUUGUUUGUUUGUUUAAAUCAUGCAUGGCAUCUGGACUUGUAGCCAUUUGCUUUUGUAGGUUGUUCCUUGUUUAAACAAUAUAUCCACCAGGUCACUAAUCAAUACCUCUUCUCAAAAGAGAAGAGGUAUAGGUUAGUAAUGCAUUAAUUUCUGGAGCUUAAUUAGCUAACAAGGAUAAUUCAUAACGAAUCAAUUCUUGUCAUACAAAAGGCAUGCAGUGGAGACUUCUUCAAGUUCCUGUGGGUUGAAAUUGCACACCCUGGCACGGAUACCUUCACUGGGUGAUAGACGUCAUCAACAUUAUAAGUGGAUAAAUUCAUUUUCCUCCUCUAAGUACAACCCCAUAUUGUGCAUUGAUGCUUGAUUGAUGCAUUGAGGAAUGGAGAAUAAACAAAAACCCCAAUAAAUUA